rnacentral:rRNA from 1 species
AUUGAACGCUGGCGGCAGGCCUAACACAUGCAAGUCGAGCGGAUGAAGGGAGCUUGCUCCUGGAUUCAGCGGCGGACGGGUGAGUAAUGCCUAGGAAUCUGCCUGGUAGUGGGGGAUAACGUCCGGAAACGGGCGCUAAUACCGCAUACGUCCUGAGGGAGAAAGUGGGGGAUCUUCGGACCUCACGCUAUCAGAUGAGCCUAGGUCGGAUUAGCUAGUUGGUGGGGUAAAGGCCUACCAAGGCGACGAUCCGUAACUGGUCUGAGAGGAUGAUCAGUCACACUGGAACUGAGACACGGGCCAGACUCCUACGGGAGGCAGCAGUGGGGAAUAUUGGACAAUGGGCGAAAGCCUGAUCCAGCCAUGCCGCGUGUGUGAAGAAGGUCUUCGGAUUGUAAAGCACUUUAAGUUGGGAGGAAGGGCAGUAAGUUAAUACCUUGCUGUUUUGACGGUACCAACAGAAUAAGCACCGGCUAACUUCGUG